rnacentral:lncRNA from 1 species
GGCUAAGCAAGUGGUACAAAUGAAAAGUCACAUCAACGCUAGCUGUUAUGAAACAAAUCAAAGGUAAAUAAGAAAAAAAAUGAAUCAAAAUGUUCUCACUUCCAAGCCAAACAAACGAAAGUUGAUAGAGAGAUUCAGAUGCUGCAAAUCCAAGAACAUGAGACCAAGACUAGUUGGUGGUUUGAAGGCGGGUCUACAAACCUCUUAUCUGCCUUCAUUUGGGGCAGCGUCUUCAACCAGCCAAGUGGCUUCAUCUCCUAGGAAAGCUUCUUUUUCCAUCAAAUGUGUCGCUUUAUUUUCGGAUUGACCCACAAACAAAAUCUUGCAAACUGCAAAUCGGUCUAAUAAUCUUUUACCAUCAACAAUGUGGGCACUAAUUAAAGAAAAAUCCUGUCUGGUAGAUUUCAUCUUCUUAAGAACAGAGAGGGAGUCCCCUUCAAGCUCAAUCGAGUAAAAACCAAAAUCCAGAAACAAUUUCAAAGCUUGCAUGCAAGUGAGGGCUUCCGCCGCGAAAGGGGUAGGUACAUGCUUCAUCACUAAGGCACGCGAUCCCAUUACUAACUCUUCCUGAUUCCAAAUCACCACACCCGUACCUGAUAUGUUCUGUUCACUCUUGAAGGCAGUUUCGAAGUGGUGACUGCAACCUUGGACCUUGAUAACUCUCUAAGCUCUUAACAAAUGCGCCUGAAUAGAGGUACGUUAAUCCUCACUUCUUGUUGUCUUUGCCUCGUUCAUGAAGUUGUUUCAGCAAAUCAGGCCGCCCAAAUGCUGACUGCCAUUACUUCAUAGUCAUCAUUCCUGUGACUAUGUAUACCUAACUCGGUUACCAGAUUCAACACGUUAUAUUAUCAAAGCAACUCCGAUUAAAUUAACAUAAAUCUACAAAGUCAAAUUCAUAAUUAUCGUUCAUAACAGUUAAUCCAUUUGUUAUGAUCAUACACAUGCAUUCAUAGCACAUAAGAAUUAAUUAUAUCUAGUUACAGGGUUAUAAAUAAAUUUUAGAGUUAGUAUCCAAAUCCAAGUGUCAAAUUUUAAUUUGUUAUCUUAAGACGGGGAACCUCAUGUAUUGGGACAGACAUCGUUUUUACUUUGGAAUUUUUGCUUUUAUGUCAACAAGUCUCGAGAUAAACAAGUUCAUGUCUUAAGAUAAAAAUCUUCAAGGUUCAAGAUUGGGUCUCAAGAUAAUUUUUCCAUGUUUUCUUAUUUUAGCUUCAAUGUUUGGGUGUCUUAUCACAAGAGGUUUUUGUCUUGAGACUCAGAACAAGGCAAAACUUAUUUAGAUUCAUUGUGCUCUUGUCUCAAGACAAAGGCCACUUUGUCUUGAAACUUGAUUGAGGCUAUCUCGAGACUAGUUUGAAAAGCUCGAGACACUAAGCAAUUGAUCUUAUGAAAUGAUAAGUUUUGAUCUAAUGGUCUCGAGGCAUGCUCAUAUUGUUUUGAAACUUAAUGACAAAUUGACCUGAGAUGCACAAUUUCAAGCAGUCAAACCAUACUAAAUUAUACCUAAACUUCACAUAAAUGAAAAAUCAUCAAUUCAACAUACAAAACACAUUCAAUCACCAACAAAUCUUAGCAUCCAUUUCGUCUUUGUCUAGCCAAGCAAGUCAUGCAACGAAAUACUUAUGAACAAAUACUUAUGAACAUGUAUAAUAAUCUUUAAAUCAAAAGAAGAAACUCAUCACUUAAAAUAUUAUAGGUUAGAAUAUCAAAAAUACCAAAUAUUAACUUAAGUAAUAGUGACAUGCCAAAAUAGGCAAGUAGUUGGUUUCCGAGUUGGAUGCUUUCUGACUUCGAAUCUAUUAUGAUUCUCGUUUGAGACCUAUGUAUAGAAACAAAUAUAAUUGUACGCUGAGUAAUAUAUACUCAAUGUUGCUAAUAUAAUUCAAAUUCAAAUAUAAAUGUCAUUAUAUCAAUUGAACGAACUAAGUGUCAAGAUUAAACAUAUUAUUCAUUAGCGAUUUCAAUAUUAUUAACAUUAAUAUGUAUAUACUUAUAAAUCAUUAUUCCUUUGGAUGAUUCAUUAUCAUUUUUUAUUCGAGCAUGUUCAUAUUCACAUUUUUGCUUGCUUACAAGUCACAUUUCAUGAUAUAUGUAUGAGAAAUUUAUUGAAUUUCAUUAAUCGAAGUUGUUAACUUUUUAGUUUAGAAAAUCAGUCGACUUGUGAUGGUUUUUUAAAUGGGAUCCAAACAUUUAGGGGUUGAAAUGUUUUCAUAACAUUCAAAUAUCUAUUUCUUAUCUUUAAAAUGCACUUUGAAUCACUUGAUUUCGAAUUUGGAAGUUCAAGUUAUGACCGUUUUAAUAAAGACUACGUGAAUAUAAUUUUUGGACGGGAUUAUUAUGAAAAAUUAUGAGUUUCGAGCUUUAAUUUGAGUUUAAAUUAUAUUCGGUUUGAUUUUUAGAUUUAAUUUUUAUUAUAUAUGAGCAUAAUAUUUUAUUUAUUAGGUUUUGUUAUUUAAUUAUUUAUUUAUUCUGAAUUUUAGAAUAUUUUUAGAGUAUUUUAAGUUAUUUAGAAGUUUUAUAUUUCUUAGUCAAUAAUAGUUUAAAACUACUUUUUAUUUAGAUUAUAUAGGGGGUUUCUUACCUUAAUAAUAUAUAUAUAAAACCAUAAUGGUAUGUUAAGAUUAAUUACCAAAAUGGUUCAUUUAAAUUGGUGGAAGGUGGUGCAUAGGUGGUGCAUAGGUGGCACCACCUUAUUUUUUGAUACUUUACAGAAAAAAAUUUAUUUUAUGUAGUGGAGGGUGUCAGAUAGGUAGCAUUAGUGGAGGGUGUCUGGUAGGCGGCACCAGUGGAGAGUGUCAUCUAACACUCCCUAAAUUCAUAUCAUCACCGGAAUAGGGUUAUGAGGCUUUACCAUACUUAUACACUAGCAUUUAUGCAAAAUUGAGUCAUAAAUUUUUAUUUUAAAUUGAAACUUCUUAAAUUACACUAUAAAGUCUUUAAUAUGAGUCUGCGGGGUCCAAUACAUGCUUUAGAAGUAAUUCAGGAUUAAAUCGGUAACUUUGGAAAUUUUAUCUUGAAGAUAGGGAUACGCGCCUGUGUGACUUGGGACAUGGCCGUGUGGCUAGCCCGUGGGGUUCCCAUGGCCGUGGGGCCAGGCUGUGAUAGAUCUUAUUUGCUUACACGAUCGUGGGAAUAGUCGGUGUGACAUAAACAGAGAGUCACACGGCCUGAGCACACGCCCAUGUGACUUGGCCGUGUGAAAACAUGAUUUUUGUCCAUUUUUAAGCUAUUUUCACAUGUUAAACACAUUUAAUUCACGCUCAAGCAUUUACUUGGCCGUGUGAAAACAUGAUUUUUGUCUAUUUUUAAGCUAUUUUCAUAUGUUAAACACAUUUAAUUCACGUCAAGCAUUUACUAAUAGUUCUUAAAUUAAAUAUCAUGCAUUAUGCCAUUCAAACUUAGCAAAUAUUCAUUCAUUCACUUCAAUACUUCUUAAGGAUUAUGUAUCACAACUCAUAUCGAAAUUAUACUACAUUUUCAUACUAGUCAAACUCAUUUAAGUUUAACUUUCCAAAAUAUGUAUAUUUCAUACCAUGUUUCAACAUCUUUCAUACUCAUUCUUAUCAUUUACAAAAUAAAAUCUUGCCAAUUUACCAAAAGAAAGGUACUUCACCACUUUGAGUUCGGGAUUGGCUUGGAUGCUAAGUCUUCAUCUUUCUUUCGUACCUAAACCUGCAUACGAAAAAUAAACCGUACACUGAGUAUACACUCAGUGGUAUUUUUAUAAACCAAUACUUAACAUACAUUUAAACAUAACUAUAAAUUUUAACAAUAGGAACUUUAAAAAUUACCAUUCAAUUAUCCUUAAAUUACAGUAACACUUAUUAAUAAAAUCGUAUUCAAUAAGAUCAUACAGUAAUAACAGUAUCUUUCAGUGCUCAGUACAGUAGUUUAUCUCUUACAUUCAUUUUACACCUCUUCCCUGUAGUUAAGCAAUUCAUAUAUAUUUAUAUUUCAUGUCUUUUGAUAACUUAAACAUUCGUAAAUUAAUCGCAGUCACUUAAUCGAUAUCAGACAGUCUUCAGUACUUUCAUUUACCCUUAUUAACAUCACUCGGAUUUAAACAGAUACGUGGAUUCAACCCACACACCGGGAAUAAUAUACAGUGUUUCAUCGACCGAAAUUGGAAGACAUCGUAAGGUAACAGUAACAGUCAUAAUCAGGUUCGAAGCACCUCUUCGGAACGAAUCCGGAACAGUCGCAGUAGUCGACAUAUAUAGUGUCUCAUCAAUACAGUUGGAAUAUCCCUAAACACUUUUAAUUCUAUGGCAUGCCAAUUGUAUUUGAUUAACCCGACACUGUUAAUAGAGUAUUCAAAUCGUUUCAUUUCAAUACAGAAGUAGUAACAGUUUUUAUCAUAUCAUUUAUUAUACAUUUUAACUAUUAAAAAUAACAAUUACAUUAUAUUAAA